rnacentral:rRNA from 1 species
CACUCCUACGGGAGGCAGCAGUGGGGAAUAUUGCACAAUGGGCGCAAGCCUGAUGCAGCCAUGCCGCGUGUAUGAAGAAGGCCUUCGGGUUGUAAAGUACUUUCAGCGGGGAGGAAGGCAAUACGGUUAAUAACCGUGUUGAUUGACGUUACCCGCAGAAGAAGCACCGGCUAACUCCGUGCCAGCAGCCGCGGUAAUACGGAGGGUGCAAGCGUUAAUCGGAAUUACUGGGCGUAAAGCGCACGCAGGCGGUCUGUCAAGUCGGAUGUGAAAUCCCCGGGCUCAACCUGGGAACUGCAUUCGAAACUGGCAGGCUUGAGUCUUGUAGAGGGGGGUAGAAUUCCAGGUGUAGCGGUGAAAUGCGUAGAGAUCUGGAGGAAUACCGGUGGCGAAGGCGGCCCCCUGGACAAAGACUGACGCUCAGGUGCGAAAGCGUGGGGAGCAAACAGGAUUAGAUACCCUAGUAGUCCCA